rnacentral:rRNA from 1 species
UCUUAAAGAUUAAGCCAUGCAAGUGUAAGUACGGCCCUACUCUUCGAGGGGGCGAGACUGCGGACGGCUCAUUAAAUCAGUUAUGAUUCCCAGGAGCCAGAACCACUUACUUGGAUAACUGUGGCAAUUCUAGAGCUAAUACAUGCACUUCAAGCUCCACCUGCCCCGUUCGCGGGGCGGGAGGUUGCGCACCUGUUAGCCUCGAAAGGCGGUGGCUUCGGCCCCGUCGAAAGGAGAUGAAUUCUGGACAGCUUUGCCGAUCGCACGGCCUUUUGAGCCGGCGACGUACCUUUCAAGUGUCUGACCUAUCAUACUAGAUGGUUUGCGAUCUGCGCACCAUGGUUGCAACGGGUGACGGGGAAUCAGGGUUCGAUUCCGGAGAGGGAGCAUGAGAAACGGCUGCCACAUCCAAGGAAGGCAGCAGGCACGCAACUUACCCAAUGCCGACACGGCGAGGUAGUGACGAAAAAUACCAAUACGGGAGCCGCUACACGCGGUCCCGCAAUUGAAAUGAGUACACUCUAAAUCCUUUAACGAGGAUCUAUUGGAGGGCAAGUCUGGUGCCAGCAGCCGCGGUAAUUCCAGCUCCAAUAGCGUAUGUCAAUGCUGCUGCGGUUGAAACGCUCGGAGUUGGAUCUCGGUGACGGGCCGACGGUCUCGCUCUCGGAGCGAUGCACGGUCGGCGAUAGGGGAGGGUUUAACCGCUCUCCCUUGCCUCCGUCCCUCUGUCCGGAAUGUAUUUGUCCUAGCCCGGGUGCUCUUGACUGAGUCGCUCGGUGCCUGGCCGGACGCUUCACUGUGAAAAAAUUAGAGUGCUCAAAGCAGGCCUCAGUGCCGGUAUAUCGCUGCAUGGAAUGAUAGAGAAGGACCUCGGCGCGUGCCCUCUGGGUGCGGCGCACGAGGUAAUGAUUAAGAGGGACUGCCGGGGGCAUACGUACUGCGGCGCGAGAGGUGAAAUUCUGUGACCGUCGCAGGACGAGCUAAAGCGAAGGCAUUUGCCAAGAAUGUCUUCAUUAAUCCAGAACGAAAGUCAGAGGCUCGAAGACGAUCAGAUACCGUCGUAGUUCUGACCGUAAACUCUGCCUACUGGCAAUCCGCCGACGGUAUCUCAACGACUCGGCGAGCGGCCUACGGGAAACCAAAGUGUUUGGGUUCCGGGGGGAGUACGGUCGCAAGGCUGAAACUUAAAGGAAUUGACGGAAGGGCACCACCAGGAGUGGAGCCUGUGGCUUAAUUUGACUCAACACGGGAAACCUCACCCGGUCCGGACACUGGUAGGAUUGACAGACUAACGCUCUUUCUUAAUUCAGUGGGUGGUGGUGCAUGGCCGUUCUUAGUUGGUGGAGUGAUUUGUCUGGUUAAUUCCGAUAACGAACGAGACUCUUGCCUGCUAAAUAGUUCGGGGACCUAGGUCCGUCCGCUCUGCGGGGGACCUGCUUCGGGUCACUCGAUCGCUCUACGGAGCCAACUUCUUAGAGGCACAAGUGGCGCUUAGCCACACGAAACGGAGCAAUAACAGGUCUGUGAUGCCCUUAGAUGUCCGGGGCCGCACAUGCGCUACAAUGGCUGCAUCAGCGCGAGUCUCUCCUGAAAGGGCGAGGAAACCGCUCAACCGCAGUCCCGGUUGGGAUUGGGGGCUGCAAGUGUCCCCCAUGAACACGGAAUUCCUAGUAGGCGCCAGUCAUCAGCUGGCGUCGAUUGAGUCCCUGCCCUUUGUACACACCGCCCGUCGCUACUACCGAUCGCUCUCGUUAAUGAGCCCGUCGGAUUGGACCCGGUGGGGCGCGUUCGCGUGCCCCGCGUCCUGGUGUUUGCCGAGAAGAUGGGCGAAUUAUCGGGAGUAGAGGAAGUAAAAGUCGUAACAA